UGGCGUGGCUGCGUCUGGCCGGUGGGCGGGGCCGCCACCAGGGCGGCAGGGCCCGGCGAGGGGCUGCGGCGCAGCGCUCGCGCUGCUGCCGGCAGCCGUGCCCCCGGGACGGACCCUCGGCUGCUGCGGCUCCUGGGCCCGUAGGGCGCCGGGAAGCGCAGACGCUGACCGUGACCGCUAGCGCAGCCUUGAGUCGCGUUUGUCCGAAGUCUACUUUACCCGACUUUUAAGGGGCAGCACGCUUCGAGCUGCGUGGCUUGGUUUCCUUGCUUGCUUGUUUCUAAGAUCUCAUUUUUGGUAGCUUGUCAGGGGACAAGAUGUCAUCAGUUUAAACUGCAGUGAGAAAAAUGGGGAUCAGGUGUUAAGAAAACGCUACUGACAAAGUUACUAUGGCACUAGACUGCCUAAUGGAAAGAUGAGUGUGGAGUCUUCAUCAGUUGGAGUUUUAAAGCCAAGCCUCUUCAAUGUGACAAUUCACUGCAUCUUGGAAUAAAAGAGAAAAAAUCUUCACUGUUCAAUACUGUCUUCACAUCCUGGAACCUCGUUCUUGCAAAAUCUGAAAGAGACCAACAAUUUCAUAAAUGAAAAUUCUAUCAAUGUCAUUCUUAAAGAAUGGAGGACAAAGAACAACAUAAUGACUAUUUCAGAAAAACUGAUAAUUUUUAAAGAAGCUGGUUCAAGGACAUUCUUGAAGCUUGUGCUUUAAGAUUGAAAAAGAAAGAUUAAUACAUACAAUGUUUUACUAUCAAACAUCAUGAAAACUAAUGUACAUCACUGCUAGUAACUGAGUCUGAUUAAUAUAACCAAAGCUUAAGGGCUGGAAGACCUAAGAAGUAAGCCAUUUUAUUUCAUCCUUGUUCUAAAGAUACUUAGGUCCCAUACAGUAAAUGAACCAGAUACAUUUUAAAACUUAGGAUUUAAUCUUAAUUUUUUCCUAUUGCAGUAAAUGUCCUUAACUCUCUCAAAUUUCAGCUGCAAUUGUAUCCCUUGACAACAUGAGUUAGCAACCUAAAAUGUGCACAAAUGUCAUACUGAGUGAGAUGAUGCAUUCAGCUUUCAAAGACGAAGAGUAUGAGUUGAGAAGAACUAAACUGACAUUUGAAAUAGAUGUCCAGACUUGAUCUUUAGCAUGAACUAAAUUCAGCCAACAAGAUUUCUUCAUAGUAAAAAGUUUUAGUAAAUAGUUUUGUACAGUGGAGUUCGGAUAUACAAAGCUCAUCAGUUGGACUCACCACCUAUAGGACAGUAAAUCCUACUUUGACAACAGUUUUAAAAUAAUUUUACAUUAAUAUUAUUUCUUCAUGGAAGAUCUCACAAGUUUGUUAAGCAUCCCUCCCAGUCCACAGAAAAAUUGUUUCUGCAGAGACAAGACAUAGCACAUUGUACUUUUCAUGCACUACCCUGUCCAUCAUUAUCCUUUGAAUCACCCAAGCCAGGCAGCUGAGAGGCGUUGCAGCCUUUGACUUCAUGAGAAGGAAUGUAUUUCUCGAAAAUUCUGUCUAAGGAAUUUCCUUCUCCCACUGUUACCAAGGAACUGAGAUUCCCAUUACAGUGAAUAAAAUGAUUUGGUUUUCCCCUAAAGGCAGUUGACUUGUUUAAUAUACAUUUUAAAAGGUGUAUAUUAAAUAUAGGGAAUGAAGUCUAAUGAAACCAAAAUAUCUGCCCCUGAAGAACCUAGGAAACCUUGUAUAUAGCAUCCUAUAACACGAAGACUAUGUAUUCUAUUUUCAUUUUUAUUUUUUAUUUUCCCCUUUUCAACUUUCUUCAGCACCUCCAGUGAAGAAAGGAUCCAUGUCUUAGGAUUGACUGUCCAGGCCACCAUGUUUCUCACAUUGCUACUCUAACCUGAAUACUGCAAUUAGCAGUAAUGACAUCAGCUCUGAAGCUGCUUUAGUGUACCCAUAGGGAAGCCUGCAAGCAAACGGUAGAACCAGUGAUGACCAUGGCCAAAAAAAGACUAAGCAAAGCUUCAAAUGUACUUAGCACAAGUACUUUAUGGGCAAGUAAAAUUAUCUCUAACAAUAAUUCAUUUUCUUUUACUUCCUGGUUGUUUUCCAAGUACUGAUAAGAGCUCUUCAAAACCUGGCAGAAAGCAAAGGCACAGUCCCUGGGAAAUGGCAUAGCUGUCUUCAAUGCAGAAUUUCUUUCUAUGACGAUUUCAAUUUAAUCUCAUAUUAUGACAAACACCUCAUGCUAGUAGCACUCAGUAGCACAUUCUACCCCCAGAGGAUUCACAGAAUUUGACAGCACGCACGAUCUUUGUGCCUGUUGGGUAAAAAUUGUCACACCAAAAAUUAACAGAGCAUGCCAGUUUCAUGUUUGGUUUUAAAUGAAAAAGUCUAGGUGUUUGGUUUCUUUUUAAUAUUGUUAAAAUGUUGAUAAUUUACCGUAUCAGCCUCUUAUCGGUCAUUAAGCCUAAUACAUCAUUCACAGUGGCUAUAGUCAAGUAGGGUCUCACCUGCUUUGCACAAUGCCAUGGAAUUUUUUAAGGACUGGAGUUCAUAAAGACUCCACCAUUUGUAUGCUCUCAAGGACAGUUCAGAGUUAACUUAAAAAAAAUCCACUUUAUCACUUGCUCCCUGAAAUGCCUGCAGUACCUGGAUCUCACUUUGUGGUUACAAAGUUCUGUUUCAUUUCAAAGUCAGACUUACUAUUAUUUACAAGUUAGGAAAUGAAGUGACAUUGCAGGUACUUUGAUAAAUUUCCAAAAUACAGGAUAUCUCUGAUGGGCUAUAAUGUGUUUUAAGGUAUAUUUUAAAUGCAAACACUGCAUAUUUCAUGAGGAGGAAUCUACUAUGUGUACUAAGCAAAAAACUUUUCAUAUUAAGAUGUCGGAACGAUACAGUUGCAUUCUGCACGGAAAAGACAGGCCUUGAAAAUUGCUCAGUAGCUGGUACUAAUACAUUCAAAAGGGAUUAGACAAACUUACAGAAUAUAGUGCCAAUGAUACCUAUUUGAUGUAAUGAUCUGGAUGCAGGUUUUAAGCCAAAAUUUCUAACCUGCUCCUUACCAGAAGCUGGGGAAAUACAUCACGAGUUAUUCUGAUAAAUGCUUCACGCUUAAUCUCUUUCCUCAAGUAUUUGGAGUCGGUCACUGCCGAGAAUAAGGUAUUGGGGCAGAAGUCCACAUAGUGGAUAACAGUCUAACCCAUCAAAAGUAGCAAGUAAGUGCCAAGAGAGGCAAAAACAUGGCUGAAAUGAGCACCUGUGGAGUUAGAAAAUAUUACUGGAUCAAUUAAUUUUGUGAAUGUUUCCCAUCUGAAAUGCAACAUUUGAGUUUAUUCUUUCCUAAAAGAUAAAAAAAUGCUUUUAAGAUUAAUAGAGUUAGAAUUACUUUCUGUAACUUCAAGAGCACAUACAAAUAAGACAAGCUAAGCCUGAUCUAGAUGUUGAACUUGGCACACUGCUGAGCCAGUAAAUCCAACAUAAAAUAGAAAAUUCCAUCAGCUCAGGCAAUAUUAUAACACAUUUUACUUGGUACUUUUUCUGCAACCCCUAACUUUACUAAAGAGGAAAUGACUUAUCAGCAAGCUCUCAAGGGAAGUGUUCCAUCCACCUCUGUUUAGAAAUUGGGUGAAAGAGGAUCUUCUAUAGCCAUGAACAGUGACUUUGUCCAAAGAGGAAAAGAGAAUAUUGAAUUUAAAUUAUCAGGAAUUCUAUCAAAAUUGGAAUUACUAAUUACUGAAAGAAUGACCGGUUCUAUUCUGCAAUCCGAAACUCCUCCUUUUUUCAUGAAAAUAAAACUUUAAUGAGACUUCCUGAAAAUUUUAGUCACUUUCUGUGCAAAAAUGCUGAGAGAAGAUGUCUCAACACUAACAGAGGUAACUAAAAUUUGAAAACAGUUAGGGCAGGUCUUUUCUUAAACUGCCAGUGGCUAGGAUUGUGGAAUAUAUCUUGAGCAGAACCAGGCACUGAAGAAGAUUUCAUGUGAAAACACGCUAUUAGCUAAACAGAGACCUUCAUGGAUAACGCUCCUCUGAACUUAUACUUUAGAUCUGUUGUCUUCAGAAUUUUCCUGCUUUCCAUGCUUCUGUUGUUUUUCAUCCAGAUGCAGCAGAUCCAAAGUUGACUUAAAAACUCUCAGCAAUGGUGAAUAAACUCUCUGAUCCUAAGGGCCCAAGUGUGAUAGUUCCUUCCACUCAGAAUAAAUCUGCUGCAGACAGAAUAACAUCUUAAGAGACUUUCUGUCUCUCAGGCAGCUGAGAAAGCUUGCAUUCAAUUCCAUCAAAGGAUCAAUUUACUUUUUUCAGUAAAGCUUCAGAUUUGAUCCAUUCCUUGCAACCAUUCCAGAAGGCUUAGCAAAAGACCUUAUUCUACCUCAGCAGUAGUUUCUGUUAGCAUCAGGAAAGAUAAUAAUCAUAGGAUAAUAGAAUGGUUUGUGUUGGAAGGGACCUUAAAGAUUACCUAGUUUCAACCAGCUGUAAUGUAUCUUCUUCUUCAGCUGUGUGGAAGCAACACUUCAGAGAGAAGUAUAAGGCUGCUUUACAGCUAAAAUAUUCAGCUGUGUAGAUGAGAAGCUGGAGCUCAAUCUCAUGCAAUUGCAAGCAUCUUUGAUAUAUACAGAUUCCUGAUGUGACCUGUAAAGUACCUUGAUCUUCAGUAAGAUGUCAAACUGCAGUAGAAAGGACCUGACCCUUCUGUGGAGAGAGUUGUUUCCUGUGAUAAAGACAACUGUAGCACUAAGAUUACAUCAUGUGCCUGUAUUUGCCAGGUCUUGAUUAAAAAAUUAUUAAUUUCAAAAUUAUCAGAUCUGUUGACUACACUGCACUUCAGUUAAGUUUGUUAAUUUAUUGCCACAUCAGACAUUUGCUGAAAAUUUAUACUCCAAGUUUGUAUGAGACACCCCUACACAUAAAAAGUAAUUGACAGAAAAGGUGGUGCAAGGAAAAUAUAAAUCAAAACCAAUUUUGAUCCUAUAGUAUUUCCCCCUAGAACCUAUGUGAAGCACUUUUCUUCUCACCAUAACUUUAAAGGUAUGGAUCAUAGUACAGCUGAUAACAGCAACAUUGAUUACUCUGUCAAAGAAGCAACAUCCAGAACAUGUAUUCUGUUUUUGCUAACCAUGCCACAAAUAUAACCACAAACAAAUACACCACCAGGACUAGCCAAAGGACAGCACUAGUGGGGGCAGGAAUUGGAUGGGGCAGAAAAGCAUCUGGGUAAAAUCCUAGGGCAGCUAGUGCUCACCAUGACAUUUACACUUAAUCUGAGUCAUUCAUAUCGUAAUCCGUUUCUUCAUCUUCACUCUGAGUGGCAUGCAGCAUGCAGCAAGUAUAGAGAAAGGAAAGGAAAAGAAAAGAUUGCAGGUGAGUCAGUGCUGCAACAAAGUACAGUCCACUUACACUUGAAGCAUCUAGGAGUGACAUUUAUUUACUUUUGUCCAGGAUCCCCGUUCUUUGUAAGAAAGUACGGCAGCAGACAAUUUCAACCAGGAACACUAUAGAUUUCAUGAAAAUGUCCUUUCCCAAACAUCCUACAGUCAGCAGAUAGAAGCCAAUAGUGCCAUGCAAUGUAACAGGAAUCUUAGGUACAGAGAAAACUUAAAUAAACCAGAGUUGGUAUCUUUAUUCCACUAACUGUUCCCCACAUAUGGGGAAGGAUAGCACUUGAAAACCUAACUUUGGAUGCAGAUUUUAUGAACAGGCUUUGGUCAUUACUUCCAAGAGUGACAGAUAAAUGAAGUGGUAUGAAAGAGAAGAAUGCUUGUGGGAACACAGGCUAUCUUUUAAUAAUGCCAUGGCUUCCUGUAAAAGUCACUGAAACAAUUUAAGUCAAUGCUCCAAAUGGGGUUAAAUUCCCUCUCUCAGGCAUAUUACAAGGCUACGCAAAAGUCAGCUACUAACAAAAGAACUAAGAAAGGCAGGUGCUUAAAUAUACUCAAAGACUGGUACUUUACUAUCUGUUAAAUAGUUUUGUUUGUAAUUUGUUUUAUUUUUUGGUGAAUUUUGACCUGCUCAUUUUUCUCCUUGAAAAUGCCAGUGACAGGAAAGUGAUAAAAUUGCUUUGUGGAAAACAUACACUGCAAGACUGAUCACCCCUAAUAUUUCAUAGCACGGCACAUCUUCUGCCAUUUGUCGCUAUAUUCUUUCUAUGCUUUACAUCGGCAAAAUAACGUGUUAUGCUUUGUAUUGCCAUGUUUGAGUUUCACCAAUACAUAGUUCAGUUAAAUGGUGUACAGGUUUGAGAGUCAGUAAAGACUGCAUGGACCAGUAACAAUGAGAGAUUCUGAUUAUGCUGGAAUCCCACAUUUCAAAGUUUUAAUUGCUACUGUUUCCCUCUUCUAACCUAUCUAAGCAAACUGUUUUCCAAACAAGAAAGCAUAAAAAAAAAGUCUCUAAGAAGGAAUGAGGUGAAGUUUGAUUAGAUGGGGUAUCAGAGAAUGCUUUUUCCUAUUUUGAAAGUCCAGUACUAUUAAUUUAAAAUUGAAGUGCGCAUCAAUAAAAAUUACAUACUGGUGCUUUUUUUUCUUUCUGUAACCUAAUCUGCUGCAAAAGUAAUAGUUAGGAAGACUUUCUCAUUGUUUCUAGAAGACAGUCCUAGGAGGUGAACGUGUCUUUCUGUAUAUAUCACUGUAUACCAUAAUUUCAAUCAUACGAACUUCACGAAGACCAACUCAGACACUAAUGAACAGGCUGCAGAUGGGAUCUACUGGAUCAACAGUUCCCAAAGACCAGUCCAAAUUUCUCACACAGCUGUCAGAAACCUCUCAAACAAAAAGGAAUUCCUCCCCCCAUGCCCCAAUGCAACACAUAGCUAUAAAAUAUAUAGCAGAAACACACUGUAUCAAAAACGAUUUUUCAAGCAUUGCCAUUUAUUGCUAGCAAAAGCUCAACUCUUCCAGGAAACAAGGAGUGAGUGCUUAUAUCGCCAACCAAAAACUAUCAAUGAGUCUCAUUCAUUGCCCUGGUCAAAUUAUGCUCCGCACUCUUCUCCAAAAUGAUGACCAAGAAGCCCUUGAAUGGAGAGGUCUAGGAUUUAGCUUCUCUCAGAGCUACUAAUUGUACAGGAGUUGAACCGUGCCCUGAAUUAGUUUUUCUUUUCAUGGUUUAAUAGUUUGAUUUGAUUCAUAUUUUCUAUUAAAUUAAAGAUGCAAUGUAACUCUGGCAACUUCUGAAGUUCCCUGAAGAUGUACUACUAUUCCUUAAGAAUGUGUGUAGCAGGUUCAAGAAUUCCACUCUUUUUUUUUUUUUUCAGGCAUGUAUCCCAGCCAUAAACUAUUGCCACAUCCCUCUUUGUCAACUUUUCGAUUUUCCUUAACCAUUCUGGUGAAAGCAGACCAUGAUUAGGGUUCCGGAAAGAAUGAGACAUGGCUUACACAGGUUCACUGUUUACCCUUGAUUACAUUAAUCCCUUACAACUCCUUGGAAAUCUCAUCUCAACAGCAACAAAUUAGCAGAAAUCAAUCAUUUCACUAAGCAUCCAAACAAAAGCCUGGAGUACUUUUAAAGUGUAAUUUUAAAAAAUGUCUCCGUAGAUGUAGCAGCAAAAUGAAGUUACACAGCAGAGGAAGUAGUGAAGUUUUAUCUAUUUGGGGCCUCAAUGCCAAGACCCACAUCACAUUUUAGCAUUAUUUCAAGAUCUAUUACUUUAAAAGUGAUUCUUGAGAAAGCAAUCAAUCAUUGAUGUUCUAUCAACUGUUUCCCAUAUACACAUACUAAAUGAAAAGCUUUUAAGCCAACUACAAAAAGUACCCAGUUUACCUGUAGUAGUUUCCUCACACAAAGCAAUAGAAUAUGCUUACAUACAUAACUAGUCUGCCUUAUUACUGUUCAGUUGUUUUUACAUCUUUCAUUUGUACAGACUCUGAAAUACAACUGAUGAAAACGCUAAGAUACUGUACCCAUUACAGUCUUUUUAUAAAGCAGGUUACAGAAAGGAAGGAGAACUAGGUGAAAACCUGAAAAUAAUAGGCUAAAAAAAUCUUCAUUUUACAACAUAUUGCACACUGUUUUUCAAAGACAGCAUUCUAAAAUCCCCAUUCGUGACAGUAAGACGUCUUCAGCUCAACUUAAGCAAGGAAAACAUUUUUCAAAUGAAUCAUUUAAAGAAUAAGGAGUCAUUAAAAUGUGUACGAAACAAAAUGUAGAUUCUCAACUGUAAACAGCAAAUAUCUGUGAAUACUCAAAAAAACAGGAUAGGUAUCAGGAACAAUACAGAAUAUUCCAUUUAAAGAAGCCAUCCAGUAUAACAAAUUCAUGAUGACUUUACCAUUUACACUCUCUUAUACAAUGAACAGGGAACCAUUAUCAGUUUUGAAGGAGGGAGAAAAGGCAAUUAAAUAAAAGUUCAGAAGAGAGAUAGGCCUAGCAUGACUUAGCAAAGUCUACCUGUUUUGACAAUAUUUCUUUACUCCGAUGUCUAGUAACUUACCUUUGCUUUUUCACUGGGUUCACUGGUUGUGCCAUAGGGAGUGUUAUGCAAUUCCUUCGAGACAACACACAGAAAUUCAGCCUGAUCUUCAUUGCCAUAGUUAUAGGAAGAACCAAUACUGACCAGCUGAAAGAAGAAAAAAAGUCAGUUGCAUUUCCAUAUAAAACAAAUCCCAUAAAUUCUCAUGAGAAAUAACACUCCUCACUCUUCAGACUGAUGGCUGUGCCUGACGCAUGACUCUCUACUUCAAUGCAAAUACAUUUUGAUGUUGACAAAUACACUGACAAUCUGAUGAUAAGAUAAACAUAGCUUUUCUGUUUAAACAUUUACAGAAUUAAUGGUUUACAGUUAUGAUUAUACUGUCAAAGAAAAGGGUACAAAGGCAGGCCAGUGGAGAUGCAGCCUGUUCCCUGUUCCUGCUAUUUAAUGGAAACCUUCCCAUCCUCCAAAGUUAAUUUUAAAAACAUUUGAAUGUGGUAUCUUAAUGUGGUAUGACUUAGUAUGUAAAUGGCUGCAUGCAGGAAGCACUUUAGCCUGGAGGGAUACCUACCACUAUAUUUACAGAAUAAAAAUACUUCUGCCAAAACAUA